rnacentral:rRNA from 1 species
AGAGCGAACGCUGGCGGCAGGCUUAACACAUGCAAGUCGAGCGGGCGUAGCAAUACGUCAGCGGCAGACGGGUGAGUAACGCGUGGGAACGUACCUUUUGGUUCGGAACAACCCAGGGAAACUUUGGCUAAUACCGGAUAAGCCCUUACGGGGAAAGAUUUAUCGCCGAAAGAUCGGCCCGCGUCUGAUUAGCUAGUUGGUGAGGUAAUGGCUCACCAAGGCGACGAUCAGUAGCUGGUCUGAGAGGAUGAUCAGCCACAUUGGGACUGAGACACGGCCCAAACUCCUACGGGAGGCAGCAGUGGGGAAUAUUGGACAAUGGGCGCAAGCCUGAUCCAGCCAUGCCGCGUGAGUGAUGAAGGCCCUAGGGUUGUAAAGCUCUUUUGUGCGGGAAGAUAAUGACGGUACCGCAAGAAUAAGCCCCGGCUAACUUCGUGCCAGCAGCCGC